UGCCAUGUUGCCCAGGUUGUUCUUGAACUAACUGGGCUCAAGCAAUCCACUCACUUCAGCCUCCCAAAGUGCUAGGAUUAACACGUGAGCCAUCAUGCCCAGCCCUCUGAAAGUAAUUCCAAGAGCAACAAUGGAUCAAGCUGGUAUCCACCCAUCAACACUCAGAAAAGUAGUGUAGAUAAUUUAGAUAUGGCGGAAGGGGGUACUAAAUAAAUGCCAAUUAACCAAGCCACCUAAAAAGAAACAGGUACUAAAGACAAUUGUGACACAUUCCUGAAUUGGGAGACUGAAUGAUAUGAUUUUGGCUUCAUUUUAGUAUGCAGUACAGUUAUAUAUUAUUUUCUAACUCCUCCAAUGAGAGUAGGAAACAAUUUCUGCGAACAGGAUCAACACUGAGCCAGUGUCGCCCAAUAUGUUUCUUGGGAUUCAUACGCCUUAGAAAGACAUCACCCAUUCUGGCUGCAUUUAGCUUCCUCUGCCUUCUGUUUCUACUCUGGCUGGUCUUUGCCCCUCCCUUCUUGACUCUGAGGUGCUUUUCCCUACCCAGAUGAGGGGUUAACAAGUGGGACACAUGGGACUCCUCCAAUAAACAACAUUUCAGAGCCUGCUCUGAUGGACACAAAGAGCUGAACAAUUCCAUCUUAUGAGCUCAUGAGAUUCCUGGUCGACUGCAGGCUGGGAAAAAACGGGGCUGGGCUGUAAAGAGCCGUACAAAAGGUCCACCAGCUGACAGCACUUUUGUCAGGAUGCGUCCUUGGCCAUACUGUGUGGGGAGGGCCCACUGUCUUGCAAUACAGAGGUAAGUGGAAGAAGCGCAUGCAGUGGGGGCAAGAGAAGUCUCUUCAUAUGGACAGUGAUUCCAGAGACUAGCUCCCUCAGAACAAAAGUCAGUCCCAGCUUCCCUGAGAUGGAUAAGCACUUUGCAUGAAGACGGUGAUACAGUUUCGAAAUUAACACUUAAAAUUAGGCAUUCUAAUAGUUUGUGGACAAAGGGGUUAAAACAGCCACCAGCACUCUGCCUCUAAGUUAUAAGCCACUAUUUGCUUUAAAUCACAUCACAGUCCCUUCUCAGCCUUUUUGCCAAAAUCAAAUGCAGUAUCUGUUCUUAUCAGUUCAAUAAAUCACACCACAGAUUUCCACUACUGUUUUCACACAGUUUAUUCAGAAGUUUAAAAGUUAAAAUGUGGGCAUUUUCCCGUAAAACAAAUCAUCCCCUGCCACUCCCCAACAAAAAGACUCUCCUAACACUGCAGUUACUUCUCUUUACCCAGGCUUACCACACACUUGCAGAACACACAGGAGUCAACACCCCAACUAUUUGGUAAUACAAAGAGACUACAAAGUUACACAAAAGAAUCUCAUUUACUCCUUUUCACUAGCAGGCUAUGAAUGAAAGAUUGAGAGGCAAACAUAUCAUCUUCAUCCAAGAGUUGAGACUUCCCUAACCUUUUUUCUUCCUUGAAGAGG